rnacentral:lncRNA from 1 species
CCAAGAUUUAAAAAUUUAAGCAUAAGAAAAUAAUGUUCUUGGAUCACUGGGGUGCCUUCCAGUAAGUGCUCUUUUUAUGUCAGGUGCUUGACACAAUAGGGCUCACGUCUCCUCUUCUAUGUUGAUGUCUUCAUCACACCAACUCAUUAAUUUCUUUCGAUCCACCUUCUUGACUAUCCUGGAGUAUGGAGCUUCAAUUUCUAUCACUUCAUUCUUUUGGCCUUUCACCACCCAAUUCUUCUUCUUGAAUCUCACCUGGGAACCAAGUUGGGAUGGUGCGUCCUCUAAGUCAAUGUGGACUAUUCCUCCUUUAUCAACAUCUUUCUCUUCCCGUACCUGCAUGACAUUACAGUUAUUACCUGUGUUAGCACCUUUAGACCCAUC